rnacentral:rRNA from 1 species
AAUCAACGCUGGCGGCGUGCCUCAGACAUGCAAGUCGAACGAUUAAAGCUCUCUUCGGAGAGUGUAUAGAGUGGCGCACGGGUGAGUAACACGUAAGUAAUCUACCCUCGAGUGGGGAAUAACAACCGGAAACGGUUGCUAAUACCGCAUAAUGCAGCGGCACCGCAAGGUGACAGUUGUUAAAGAUUUAUCGCUUGAGGAGGAGCUUGCGGCAGAUUAGCUAGUUGGUAGGGUAACGGCUUACCAAGGCUACGAUCUGUAACCGGUCUAAGAGGACGGUCGGUCACACUGACACUGAAUAAACGGGUCAGACUCCUACGGGAGGCAGCAGUCGGGAAUUUGGGCAAUGGGUGAAAGCCUGACCCAGCAACGCCGCGUGAAGGAUGAAGUAUUUCGGUAUGUAAACUUCGAAAGAAUAGGAAGAAUU